GUGGAUUAGUCACGCUGGUUCAAUCAGCAAGAGAGGAAUAACAGAAAAACUGGAAGUGUUUUACCAACUUUCUUGGCAAGGAGGAUGGAUUAUAUACGGUUAGGCACAAGGGAGAGGGCUGGAGAAGACCGAUGAAGGACCUCUGCUUGUGGACCCUCAGUGCAAAUCAAUGUUACCUUCAUAGCGUUUUUAACAGGAAGAGUGACUUUCCCUUGUGAGAUUGUUUCAUUCCAAAGAUUUAUGAAGUCCAGUAUUAUAUACAAAAACAAAGAAUAGAUCAAAGUAUGCAAAGAGAACCACUGCGCUACAAAACCCGCGUAGUCACCACACUUGUUUUCCUGCAAAAUAAAAAAUUUCAUCCACGA